rnacentral:rRNA from 1 species
GUCUAUGGUCAUACCACCCUGAACGCUCCCUGUCUCGUCUGAUCUCGGAAGCUAAGCAGGGUAGGGCCUGGUUAGUACUUGGAUGGGAGACUGCUUGGGAAUACUGGGUGGUGUAGGCU